rnacentral:rRNA from 1 species
CAGUCGCCGCGGGAAUACGUAGGGUGCAAGCGUUAAUCGGAAUUACUGGGCGUAAAGCGUGCGCAGGCGGUUAUAUAAGACAGAUGUGAAAUCCCCGGGCUCAACAUGGGAACUGCAUUUGUGACUGUAUAGCUAGAGUACGGCAGAGGGGGAUGGAAUUCCGCGUGUAGCAGUGAAAUGCGUAGAUAUGCGGAGGAACACCGAUGGCGAAGGCAAUCCCCUGGGCCUGUACUGACGCUCAUGCACGAAAGCGUGGGGAGCAAACAGGAUUAGAUACCCCCGUAGUCCCUGUCUCUUAUAA